rnacentral:tRNA from 1 species
AGGCGCGUAGCUCAGUGGUAGAGCACUACCUUGACACGGUAGUGGUCGCUGGUUCGACCCCAGUCGCGCCUA